rnacentral:rRNA from 1 species
AACGAACGCUGGCAGCGUGCUUAACACAUGCAAGUCGAACGAUGAAACCUAGCUUGCUAGGUCGAUUAGUGGCGAACGGGUGAGUAACACGUGACUAACCUGCCCCUUUCUCUGGGAUAACGCUCCGAAAGGAGUGCUAAUACCGGAUACUCACACCGAGGCACAUGCCUUGGUGUGGAAAGUUUUUCGGAAAGGGAUGGAGUCGCGGCCUAUCAGCUUGUUGGUGAGGUAACGGCUCACCAAGGCGACGACGGGUAGCCGGCCUGAGAGGGCGACCGGCCACACUGGGACUGAGACACGGCCCAGACUCCUACGGGAGGCAGCAGUGGGGAAUAUUGCACAAUGGGCACAAGCCUGAUGCAGCGACGCCGCGUGUGGGAUGAAGGUCUUCGGAUUGUAAACCUCUUUCAGUAGGGACGAAGCGAAAGUGACGGUACCUAAAGAAGAAGCACCGGCUAACUACGUGCCAGCCGCCGCCGUAA